rnacentral:rRNA from 1 species
GGUUAAGCGACUAAGCGUACACGGUGGAUGCCCUGGCAGUCAGAGGCGAUGAAGGACGUGCUAAUCUGCGAAAAGCGUCGGUAAGGUGAUAUGAACCGUUAUAACCGGCGAUGUCCGAAUGGGGAAACCCAGUGUGAUUCGUCACACUAUCGUUAACUGAAUACAUAGGUUAACGAGGCGAACCGGGGGAACUGAAACAUCUAAGUACCCCGAGGAAAAGAAAUCAACCGAGAUUCCCCCAGUAGCGGCGAGCGAACGGGGAGCAGCCCAGAGUCUGAAUCAGCUUGUGUGUUAGUGGAACGGUCUGGAAAGUCCGACGGUACAGGGUGAUAGUCCCGUACACCAAAAUGCACAGGCUGUGAACUCGAAGAGUAGGGCGGGACACGUGGUAUCCUGUCUGAAUAUGGGGGGACCAUCCUCCAAGGCUAAAUACUCCUGACUGACCGAUAGUGAACCAGUACCGUGAGGGAAAGGCGAAAAGAACCCCGGCGAGGGGAGUGAAAAAGAACCUGAAACCGUGUACGUACAAGCAGUGGGAGCACCUUCGGGUGUGACUGCGUACCUUUUGUAUAAUGGGUCAGCGACUUAUAUUCUGUAGCAAGGUUAACCGUAUAGGGGAGCCGCAGGGAAACCGAGUCUUAACUGGGCGUUAAGUUGCAGGGUAUAGACCCGAAACCCGGUGAUCUAGCCAUGGGCAGGUUGAAGGUUGGGUAACACUAACUGGAGGACCGAACCGACUAAUGUUGAAAAAUUAGCGGAUGACUUGUGGCUGGGGGUGAAAGGCCAAUCAAACCGGGAGAUAGCUGGUUCUCCCCGAAAGCUAUUUAGGUAGCGCCUCGUGAACUCAUCUUCGGGGGUAGAGCACUGUUUCGGCUAGGGGGUCAUCCCGACUUACCAACCCGAUGCAAACUACGAAUACCGAAGAAUGUUAUCACGGGAGACACACGGCGGGUGCUAACGUCCGUCGUGAAGAGGGAAACAACCCAGACCGCCAGCUAAGGUCCCAAAGUCAUGGUUAAGUGGGAAACGAUGUGGGAAGGCACAGACAGCCAGGAUGUUGGCUUAGAAGCAGCCAUCAUUUAAAGAAAGCGUAAUAGCUCACUGGUCGAGUCGGCCUGCGCGGAAGAUGUAACGGGGCUAAACCAUGCACCGAAGCUGCGGCAGCGACACUAUGUGUUGUUGGGUAGGGGAGCGUUCUGUAAGCCUGCGAAGGUGACCUGUGAGGGUUGCUGGAGGUAUCAGAAGUGCGAAUGCUGACAUAAGUAACGAUAAAGCGGGUGAAAAGCCCGCUCGCCGGAAGACCAAGGGUUCCUGUCCAACGUUAAUCGGGGCAGGGUGAGUCGACCCCUAAGGCGAGGCCGAAAGGCGUAGUCGAUGGGAAACAGGUUAAUAUUCCUGUACUUGGUGUUACUGCGAAGGGGGGACGGAGAAGGCUAUGUUAGCCGGGCGACGGUUGUCCCGGUUUAAGCAUGUAGGCUGGUUGUCCAGGCAAAUCCGGAUAAUCAAGGCUGAGGUGUGAUGACGAGGCACUACGGUGCUGAAGUAACAAAUGCCCUGCUUCCAGGAAAAGCCUCUAAGCAUCAGGUAACAUCAAAUCGUACCCCAAACCGACACAGGUGGUCAGGUAGAGAAUACCAAGGCGCUUGAGAGAACUCGGGUGAAGGAACUAGGCAAAAUGGUGCCGUAACUUCGGGAGAAGGCACGCUGGUGUGUAGGUGAAGUCCCUGCGGAUGGAGCUGAGACCAGUCGAAGAUACCAGCUGGCUGCAACUGUUUAUUAAAAACACAGCACUGUGCAAACACGAAAGUGGACGUAUACGGUGUGACGCCUGCCCGGUGCCGGAAGGUUAAUUGAUGGGGUUAUCCGUAAGGAGAAGCUCUUGAUCGAAGCCCCGGUAAACGGCGGCCGUAACUAUAACGGUCCUAAGGUAGCGAAAUUCCUUGUCGGGUAAGUUCCGACCUGCACGAAUGGCGUAAUGAUGGCCAGGCUGUCUCCACCCGAGACUCAGUGAAAUUGAACUCGCUGUGAAGAUGCAGUGUACCCGCGGCAAGACGGAAAGACCCCGUGAACCUUUACUAUAGCUUGACACUGAACAUUGAGCCUUGAUGUGUAGGAUAGGUGGGAGGCUUUGAAGCGUGGACGCCAGUCUGCGUGGAGCCAACCUUGAAAUACCACCCUUUAAUGUUUGAUGUUCUAACGUUGGCCCCUGACCGGGGUUGCGGACAGUGUCUGGUGGGUAGUUUGACUGGGGCGGUCUCCUCCCAAAGCGUAACGGAGGAGCACGAAGGUUAGCUAAUCCUGGUCGGACAUCAGGAGGUUAGUGCAAUGGCAUAAGCUAGCUUGACUGCGAGCGUGACGGCGCGAGCAGGUGCGAAAGCAGGUCAUAGUGAUCCGGUGGUUCUGAAUGGAAGGGCCAUCGCUCAACGGAUAAAAGGUACUCCGGGGAUAACAGGCUGAUACCGCCCAAGAGUUCAUAUCGACGGCGGUGUUUGGCACCUCGAUGUCGGCUCAUCACAUCCUGGGGCUGAAGUAGGUCCCAAGGGUAUGGCUGUUCGCCAUUUAAAGUGGUACGCGAGCUGGGUUUAGAACGUCGUGAGACAGUUCGGUCCCUAUCUGCCGUGGGCGCUGGAGAAUUGAGGGGGGCUGCUCCUAGUACGAGAGGACCGGAGUGGACGCAUCACUGGUGUUCGGGUUGUCAUGCCAAUGGCACUGCCCGGUAGCUAAAUGCGGAAGAGAUAAGUGCUGAAAGCAUCUAAGCACGAAACUUGCCCCGAGAUGAGUUCUCCCUGAGACUUUAAGUCUCCUGAAGGAACGUUGAAGACGACGACGUUGAUAGGCCGGGUGUGUAAGCGCAGCGAUGCGUUGAGCUAACCGGUACUAAUGAACCGUGAGGCUUAACCUU